rnacentral:rRNA from 1 species
GACGAACGCUGGCGGCGUGCUUAACACAUGCAAGUCGAACGAUGAAGCUGGAGCUUGCUCCGGUGGAUUAGUGGCGAACGGGUGAGUAACACGUGAGCAAUCUGCCCUUGACUCUGGGAUAACUGCGGGAAGCUGUAGCUAAUACCGGAUACGAGGCUCGAAGGCAUCUUCGGGUCUGGAAAGAAUUUCGGUCAAGGAUGAGCUCGCGGCCUAUCAGCUUGUUGGUGAGGUAAUGGCUCACCAAGGCGACGACGGGUAGCCGGCCUGAGAGGGUGACCGGCCACACUGGGACUGAGACACGGCCCAGACUCCUACGGGAGGCAGCAGUGGGGAAUAUUGCACAAUGGGCGCAAGCCUGAUGCAGCAACGCCGCGUGAGGGAUGACGGCCUUCGGGUUGUAAACCUCUUUUAGUAGGGAGGAAGCGAAAGUGACGGUACCUGCAGAAAAAGCACCGGCUAACUACGUGCCAGCCGCCGCCGUAA